rnacentral:misc_RNA from 1 species
GAUGAAGAACGCAGCGAAAUGCGAUAAGUAAUGUGAAUUGCAGAAUUCAGUGAAUCAUCGAAUCUUUGAACGCACAUUGCGCCCGCCAGUAUUCUGGCGGGCAUGCCUGUUCGAGCGUCAUUUCAACCAUCAAGCCCUGCUUGCGUUGGGGUCCUGCGGCUGCCCGCAGACCCUGAAAACCAGUGGCGGGCUCGCUAGUCACACCGAGCGCAGUAAUACAUCUCGCUUUGGGCGUGCGGCGGGUUCUUGCCGUUAAACACCCCCUUUUUACCAAGGUUGACCUCGGAUCAGGUAGGAAUACCCGCUGAACUUAAGCAUAUCAAUAAGCGGAGGA